rnacentral:rRNA from 1 species
GUCCCAGUUCGGAUUGUAGUCUGCAACCCGACUACAUGAAGCUGGAAUCGCUAGUAAUCGCGGAUCAGAAUGCCGCGGUGAAUACGUUCCCGGGUCUUGUACACACCGCCCGUCACACCAUGGGAGCCGGUAACGCCCGAAGUCAGUGACCCAACCGUAAGGAGGGAGCUGCCGAAGGCGGGACAGGUAACUGGGGUGAAGUCGUAACAAGGUACC